rnacentral:rRNA from 1 species
GAUGAACGCUGGCGGCGUGCCUAAUACAUGCAAGUCGAGCGAACAGACGAGGAGCUUGCUCCUCUGACGUUAGCGGCGGACGGGUGAGUAACACGUGGAUAACCUACCUAUAAGACUGGGAUAACUUCGGGAAACCGGAGCUAAUACCGGAUAAUAUAUUGAACCGCAUGGUUCAAUAGUGAAAGACGGUUUUGCUGUCACUUAUAGAUGGAUCCGCGCCGCAUUAGCUAGUUGGUAAGGUAACGGCUUACCAAGGCAACGAUGCGUAGCCGACCUGAGAGGGUGAUCGGCAACACUGGAACGAAGACACGGUCCAGACUCCUACGGGAGGCAGCAGUAGGGAAUCUUCCGCAAUGGGCGAAAGCCUGACGGAGCAACGCCGCGUGAGUGAUGAAGGUCUUCGGAUCGUAAAACUCUGUUAUUAGGGAAGAACAAAUGUGUAAGUAACUAUGCACGUCUUGACGGUACCUAAUCAGAAAGCCACGGCUAACUACGUG